rnacentral:rRNA from 1 species
ACGCUGGCGGCGUGCCUAAUACAUGCAAGUAGAACGCUGAAGAGAGGAGCUUGCUCUUCUUGGAUGAGUUGCGAACGGGUGAGUAACGCGUAGGUAACCUGCCUUGUAGCGGGGGAUAACUAUUGGAAACGAUAGCUAAUACCGCAUAACAAUAGGUGACACAUGUCAUUUAUUUGAAAGGGGCAAUUGCUCCACUACAAGAUGGACCUGCGUUGUAUUAGCUAGUAGGUGAGGUAACGGCUCACCUAGGCGACGAUACAUAGCCGACCUGAGAGGGUGAUCGGCCACACUGGGACUGAGACACGGCCCAGACUCCUACGGGAGGCAGCAGUAGGGAAUCUUCGGCAAUGGGGGCAACCCUGACCGAGCAACGCCGCGUGGGUGAAGAAGGUUUUCGGAUCGUAAAGCUCUGUUGUAAGUCAAGAACGAGUGUGAGAGUGGAAAGUUCACACUGUGACGGUAGCUUACCAGAAAGGGACGGCUAACUACGUGCCAGCAGCCGCGGUAAUACGUAGGUCCCGAGCGUUGUCCGGAUUUAUUGGGCGUAAAGCGAGCGCAGGCGGUUUGAUAAGUCUGAAGUUAAAGGCUGUGGCUCAACCAUAGUUCGCUUUGGAAACUGUCAAACUUGAGUGCAGAAGGGGAGAGUGGAAUUCCAUGUGUAGCGGUGAAAUGCGUAGAUAUAUGGAGGAACACCGGUGGCGAAAGCGGCUCUCUGGUCUGUAACUGACGCUGAGGCUCGAAAGCGUGGGGAGCGAACAGGAUUAGAUACCCUGGUAGUCCACGCCGUAAACGAUGAGUGCUAGGUGUUGGAUCCUUUCCGGGAUUCAGUGCCGCAGCUAACGCAUUAAGCACUCCGCCUGGGGAGUACGACCGCAAGGUUGAAACUCAAAGGAAUUGACGGGGGCCCGCACAAGCGGUGGAGCAUGUGGUUUA